GACAGAGGAUGCAAGCGUUAUCCGGAAUGAUUGGGCGUAAAGCGUCUGUAGGUGGCUUUUUAAGUUCGCCGUCAAAUCCCAGGGCUCAACCCUGGACAGGUGGUGGAAACUACCAAGCUAGAGUACGGUAGGGGCAGAGGGAAUUCCCGGUGGAGCGAUGAAAUGCGUAGAGAUCGGAAGGAACACCCAAGGCGAAAGCACUCUGCUGGGCCGACACUGACACUGAGAGACGAAAGCUAGGGGAGCAAAUGGG
rnacentral:rRNA from 1 species